AGACGUGUGCUCUUCCGAUCUGAAGCAUCUCAAUAAGUGGAGGAAAAUAAACUAACUAGGAUACUCUUAGUAAGUGCGACCGAAGAGAGUAAAGCUCAAUAAUCUAAACUUUAAAUUUUUAUAAUUUAAAGUCAUGUGAUUUUCUAAACUCAUUGAAAUUUUUAUAAAUUAUGAUUGAAUUCAUAACUAUAAAGAGUUAUAGUCUCGUUAUUUAAAAUUUCAAGCAUGGGAAUUAGAAUUAAAGAGUCGGGUAGCUUGAGAAUGCUGCCUUAAUAUAGGUGGUACACCCCAUCUAAAGCUAAAUAUUGUAAAGAGACCGAUAGCAUACAAGUAGUGUGAACGAAAGAUGAAAAGAACUCCUAAACGGAGAAUUAAAAGCGCCUGAACUUGUCUAGGUUUUCGCAUUUCUUUAAUGCGCCCGUCUUGAAACACGGAUUAGGGAGUUUUACUUAAAUACGAGUCUUUAACUUUUAAAGUAAUUUUUUUAAAAAAGGCGAAAAGAAAUUAACUGGUUUUUUAACAUGGCUAUAGAGUAUUUAAGUCAAAACCCGAAUGGAGGUGAACUAUUCCUGCAAAGAUUGAAGUCAGGGGAAACUCUGAUGGAAGAUCGUUGGCGUUAUUGAUGUGCAAAUCAUUUGCUUUAUGUAGGUAUAGGUGCGAAAGACUCAUCGAACCUCCUAAUAGCUGGUUUCCUCCGAAGUUUCCCUCAGGAUAGCUGUAACAUUUUUAAAUAGUUAAGGAUAGUAGAGAAAUGGGUAGAGGUGUAGUGGAACUACGGUUCUGCAACUUAUUUCCAAACUUCGAACGUUCUUGAUAUAAAAAAUUACCUAAUAGGAAUUUUUUAUUUAAAUAUAUGUUAUAAGUGGGCUCUGACCGGUAAGCGGUCAUGGCGAAAAGGGAUGAACCUAACGUAUAAAUAAGGUGCCUAAAUUUACUAACAAUGAAACCAUUAAAAGAGUCCAUGUAUUUAGACAGCGGGUCGGUGCCCCUAAAAGCAGGUAUCCGUUAAUGAGUGUGUUAAAACUCCCCCGCCGAAUACUCUGGCCUUGAAAAUGAAUGGCGCAUAUAGUAAUACCGAUAUUAUACAUUAAAAUUAUUUCAAAAUUUUAAAAGUAGGGGGAUGUGGAUAUCUUAGAGAAUUUUUAAUUGUAAAAUUGAAUUGAAAGAUAUCUAUUACAGAUCCUAAUUGAAGUAGCGAUUAUCCAGGUUAAUCUCCUGGGGGCUGAUGAGGAGUAGGGUUUCUGGGCAACUUAAACGGACCCAGAGUUAGUCGAUCCUAAUCAAAUUAAAUUUAGAGAAAGGGAAUAUGAAUGAUAUUUCAUAACUAAAAUUAAUUUUUAAAUGGUGACAUUUUUUUAAACUUAUUUCCAUCAAUUAAAUACUGUUUAAUAGGGAUUUCUUUCCUAUAUAACUUUUUAAUUAAAACUUAAGAAACAGGUUAACUGGAGAAUAAAGUUUUAAUUUAGUAAAAUUAUAAUUUCGAUUAUAAUAACGGCUAUUUAAAUGAUCCAUGAAACAAUAAGUUUAUUUUUUCAAAAAUUAAUUUAAUCGUACCGAUAACCGCAUCAGGUCUCCAAGGUGAGUAGCUUCUGGCCAUUGAGUAAUGGUAAUUUAGGGAAUUCGGCCAAUUAGAGCUGUAACUUCGGGAUAAAGCUUGGCUCUGAUGGAAAUCAGAACCGAUAGUUACAAGGAGAGCCCAACUGUUUAAUAAAAACUUAGUGUCGCGUCAUACCUUUAUAAGUAAUAAACGUGACAUGAAUCCUGCUCAGUGCUGUGUUUGUUAAACUGGAUUAAUCCAUUUAAGCGCCGGUAAAUAGCUGGGGUAACUAUGACUCUUAUCAAAGUAGCGAAAUACCUCGUCACUUAAUUAGUGACCUGCAUGAACGGAGCUAUGAGGUUCUCACUGUCCCAAAUUAUCACUCAGCGAACCAACAGUUGUGGGAACGGGCACAAAUUAUCCAGCGGGGAAAGAAGACCCUGUAGAGCUUCACUUUGGUCUAAUCUUGUAUAGUUUCGUUAGGGGUGCAGUCUAGGUGGGAGAUUUUUAAUCAAAUAUGAGAAACCACUACCCUUUCUGGAAUUAUACUUACUAAAAUUCUUUUCUAAAUUUUAGGAUCGGAUUAGAUAGAAAGUUUGGCUGGGGCGGCACACCUUCGAAAAAGCAGCGAAGGUGUCCUAAGUUAAGCUCAGUAAGGACAGAAAUCUUACGUUGAGGAUAAGGCCAAAAGCUUAAUUUACUGUGCCUUUUUGUACUAGGAUCAGUUUGGAAACAAAGGCCUAACGAUCCCUAAUUAGUCUUAGGUGUGUAAGACUUGGGGUGACAGACAAGUUACCUCCGGGACAACUGGCUUGUGGCUGCUAAGAGAUCAAAUCAACGCAGCUUUUUGAUUCUUCGAUGU
rnacentral:rRNA from 1 species